ACAAACAAAGGGGAGCAAGGGGGAUGAAACCUAGUUUACCAAAAUUCACAAGAAUCAAGUGAAAUCUUGAGGAAAUUGAAAGUAUAAACAACGAAUUCUAAGCUCCUACAUCUGUUCUUCGAAUUGGCAUAAAGGAAGAGGGUUCAAGCUCUAAGAAGUUGGAAGGCUCAUUGGAUCGAGGUAAAUCCUCACUUUAGGCGUAUUGGAGAAUCGGAGCGAGCACGUGUACAUGCCUUGUUAUACCAAACGCUUCCGCUUAGCUUAUUUGCAUCUUUUGGUCCAUGACUUGUUAUUUUGUUCAACUUUGUUAGUAGUCGUACAUUUGUAAACCUUGUUGUCUUUGCUUUGGGUAGUUUAAUGUCAAAUGGAUCGUAGAAUGUUGUUUAGUUAAUUAUGUUAAAAACAGGGGGCAUGUUCGUUUUACAAACGGGUCAUGCCCAAUUUUUGUAAAAAUUUUACUAUGUAUUAAAGUUGGUAUUUUGAUGUC